ACCUCGGAUCAGGUAGGGAUACCCGCUGAACUUAAGCAUAUCAAUAAGCGGAGGAAAAGAAACCAACAGGGAUUGCCUCAGUAACGGCGAGUGAAGCGGCAACAGCUCAAAUUUGAAAUCUGGCCUCUUUGGGGUCCGAGUUGUAAUUUGUAGAGGAUGUUUCGGGUACCGCCUCGGUUUAAAUUUCUUGGAACAGAAUGUCAAAGAGGGUGAGAAUCCCGUCUUGGACCGGCGGUAGGGCCCAUGUGAAACUCCUUCGACGAGUCGAGUUGUUUGGGAAUGCAGCUCAAAAUGGGUGGUAAAUUUCAUCUAAAGCUAAAUAUUGGCCAGAGACCGAUAGCGCACAAGUAGAGUGAUCGAAAGANGAAAAGCACUUUGAAAAGAGAGUUAAACAGUAUGUGAAAUUGUUGAAAGGGAAGCGCUUACAACCAGACUUGCGCGCGGCGGUUCCCCNUUCC
rnacentral:rRNA from 1 species